rnacentral:rRNA from 1 species
GAUUUCUGGUUUGAUGUGCCUGUCCCGCCACGGUAACGUGUGUGAGUGACGGUGUAUGUCUGCCAUCCUUCUAGAUUCGGCAGGCUACUCUUAACUGAGCUGGUCUGUCUGUUCUAGAUCUUUUACUUUGAAAAAAUUAGAGUGUUUCAAGCAGGCUUAUGCUAUGAAUACAUUAGCAUGGAAUAAUGAGUUAGGACUUCGGUUCUAUUUUGUUGGUUUCUAGGACUGAAGUAAUGAUUGAUAGGGAUAGUUGGGGGUGCUAGUAUUCAGCGGCCAGAGGUGAAAUUCUCGGAUUCGCUGAAGACUAACUUAUGCGAAAGCAUU